rnacentral:piRNA from 1 species
UGCAAUCAGACCUGCCUUCCACAGGA